CUAAACAAGUUGAAUCGGAAAGUAGUUUCCCCCCACUGUUCAGAGAGUCGGCGUUUGAUGCAAGCCGAUCUUUGGGUGGAAACGAAAAUGGCCGAUGAUUGGCUGGUGUGAUCGGGUUGCCGACAGCACCAGACGAACUGGUCCUCGUUAUCAGACACACCAUUUCUUACGAGAGAUGGUUGGUGAGGCUUUUUUAGGUAACUGAUUAAGUAAACUCAGAAUGGUAUCGCGAUGAAGCGCUUCUGUA
rnacentral:ncRNA from 1 species